rnacentral:lncRNA from 1 species
UGUCAAAAAAGUGCUGCUAGCUAAAAUUACCGACACUUUUAAAAAGUGUUGCUAUAUGUGGGGUCGCUAGGUAUAUAGUGACAGGUAAAGAGUGUCGCUAUAACCUAAAAGAGUGCUGCUAAUUUACCAACAACUUAUUUAAGCAUUUAGCAACCGUUGAAAUUCUAUCUCGUUGGCUGCGGUGGCGGAGGAGGACGACAGGAAUGGCUCUUCGUCUAGAAUUUCAGUGGAUUGAGUGAAGAGAGAAGAAAAUAUGGUAAUUAAUUUUUCUUUUUUUUUUUCUUUUCUGUUUGUAAUCGGGCCAAAUGGACUAGGUGUGGUGGGUUGAGUAGAGUAAUCUUUUAUUUUUGGUUGGAUUGGGUUUUAUAUUUAGGCAUUAGUAGAUGUUUUUUUAAGUUUUAGCAUAAAUGCGACACUUACUGAAAAGUGUCCCAAAUAUGUGUCCCUAUAACCUAAUUCUGUUGUAGUGUUAGUUACCCACAUG